CGAGAUGUGGAUCGAUAAGAGUAAUUAAUUAUUGUUGUAAAUGCAAGGGUAAGCGAAUUAUGGAGUAGAGUUCCGCAAUUGUAUUCCAACUGGGUUGUAAAUGAACAAAUAGAGUAUAGACAUUUAUUAUUUGGAUUGUACUUUGGAUAUAAUCAUGAAAUAAAUUAUUAGGCCUGAAUCCACAAUUGUGAGUA